GCCAGAAUUUGAAUGCUUUUGAAUAAUAUGCACAGAAAAAUAGGAAACAUAGCACAUAGCUAACUGAAAUAGCAUAAAAAAUGCAGUUCGCACCAUAGCAAAUACAUAUCAGGUUCACACAGCAAGCAAAAUAACAACUAAACUGCAGUUGAAUUCAAAUAGACAUAGCCUAAUAGAGAUCAUGUGGCCAGAAUCUGUAGUUCCCAAACAGAUCCGAAUAAUAAGAUAAAUGGCAUAUUGCCAUUAUUGCACAAGCAGCCAAGCAGAAGUAGUUCAAAAACAGCCAAAAGAUUUUUAAAAACACUUAAUCUACUGCUUAGGGCCAAAGCAAAGCGUUUGCUCCACGCUUAAGCGUCACUUAAAAACGCUUUCUUGAACACUGAUAUAACAGCAUAUGCAUGUUACUACAAAUUUAAUAGUGUUAUAUGAUCAUUCAAAUUCUGCCUCUGAUGUCUUUUAGGGAUAUAUUACUUCCGUC
rnacentral:lncRNA from 1 species